rnacentral:rRNA from 1 species
UUCGGGGGGUACAUCAGCGGCGAACGGGUGAGUAACACGUGGGUGACCUUCCCCAAAGACGGGGAUAACUCGUUGGGAGACAGGGGCUAAUACCCGAUGUGCUCAGCAGUUCACUCUGUUGAGUAAAGCUAUGGCGCUUUGGGAUGGGCCCGCGGCCCAUCAGCUAGUUGGUAGGGUAAAGGCCUACCAAGGCUAAGACGGGUAGGGGGCGUGAGAGCGCGAUCCCCCACACUGGCACUGAGACACGGGCCAGACUCCUACGGGAGGCAGCAGUGAGGAAUAUUGCGCAAUGGACGAAAGUCUGACGCAGCGACGCCGCGUGGGCGAUGAAGGCCUUCGGGUCGUAAAAGCCCUCUUCUGGGGGAAGAGAAAGGACGGUACCCCAGGAAUAAGCCCCGGUUAACUACGUGCCAAGCAGCCGCGGUAAAACGUAGGGGGCAAGCGUUAUCCGGAUUUACUUGGGCGUAAAGAGCGUUGAGGGCGGUUUUGUAAGUUGGGCGUGAGAGCCCUGUGCUUAACUCAGGGAAGCCGUUCAAUACUGCGAAACUUGAGGGCAGCAGAGGGAGGUGGAAUCCCCGGAGUAGCGGUGAGAUGCGUAGAUAUCGGGAGGAACACCAGUGGCGAAGGCGGCCUCCUGGGCUGCUCCUGACGCUGAAGGCGAAACCUAGGUGAGCGAACGGGAUUAGAAACCCCGGUAGUCCUAGCCGUAAACGAUGGAUGCUA